rnacentral:rRNA from 1 species
UUAGUGAUAGUAGACCCGAAACCGUAGUGAUCUAUCCAUGGCCAGGUUGAAGCACAGGUAAAAUUGUGUGGAGGACCGAACUCGUGAGCGUUGAAAAGCUUUGGGAUGAGUUGUGGAUAGGGGUGAAAUGCCAAUCGAACACGGAGAUAGCUGGUUCUCCCCGAAAUAGCUUUAGGGCUAGCCUCGAGGUUGAGAGUAUAGGCGGUAGAGCACUGAUCGGGCUAGGGGCCAUACCGGUUACCGAACCUAGUCAAACUACGAAUGGCUAUACUUAUACUCGGGAGUCAGACAGUGAAUGAUAAGGUCCAUUGUCAAGAGGGAAACAGCCCAGAACACCGACUAAGGUCCCCAAUGUCAUACUAAGUGGCGAAGGAUGUGGAAUUUCCAAAACAACCAGGAUGUUGGCUUAGAAGCAGCCACCAUUUAAAGAGUGCGUAAUAGCUCACUGGUCGAGAGACUCUGCGCCGAAAAUGUCCGGGGCUAAAGUAUGAAACCGAAGUCGUGUCAUAUGCAGCAAUGUAUAUGGGUAGGGGAGCGUUCUCAUCGGAUUGAAGCAGUACCGUAAGGAGUUGUGGACUGGUGAGAAGUGAGAAUGUCGGUAUGAGUAGCGAAAAGAAAGGUGAGAAUCCUUUCCACCGAAAGCCUAAGGGUUCCUGGGCAACGAUCGUCGACCCAGGGUAAGUCGGGGCCUAAUCCGAGGCGCAGACGCAUAGGAGAUGGACAACAGGUUGAAAUUCCUGUACCGACACCGUCCGAUAGAGCGAGGGAGUGACACAAGAAGGAACGUUCGCAUGCGAAUGGAAGAGCAUGUCCAAGCCGGUAGGUAGCGUAUCAGGCAAAUCCGGUACGCCGAAAGCCGAGAGGUGAUGGGGAGGCUGUAGAGAUACAGAGGAAGGAACGGGGACUCAAUUGUCAAGAAAAGCUUCUAGCGAGGACGGUGGCGCCCGUACCGAAACCGACACAGGUAGGCAGGACGAGAAUUCUAAGGUGCGCGGGAAACCCCUCGUUAAGGAACUCGGCAAAAUGUAUCCGUAACUUCGGGAAAAGGAUAACCCAGAGUAGGUGAAGGGCAGAAACGGCCGGAGCCGAAAUGGGUGGCACAAGAGAGGCCCAAGCGACUGUUUAGCACAAACACAGGCGUCUGCGAAAGAGAAAUCUGAAGUAUAGAUGCUGACACCUGCCCGGUGCUGGAAGGUUAAGAGGACGUGUGAGCCGCAAGGCGAAGCAGAGAAUUGAAGCCCCAGUAAACGGCGGCCGUAACUAUAACGGUCCUAAGGUAGCGAAAUUCCUUGUCGGGUAAGUUCCGACCCGCACGAAAGGUGUAACGAUUUGGGCACUGUCUCAACGAGGGACCCGGUGAAAUUGAAGUACCUGUGAAGAUGCAGGUUACCCGCGACUGGACAGAAAGACCCCAUGGAGCUUUACUGCAACCUGAGAUGGGAUUUGGGUAUAAGACGUACAGGAUAGUUGGGAGGCGCGGAAGUGAGGACGGCAGUUUUCACGGAGCCGACGGUGGGAUACCAACCUUGUUGUACUGAAAUUCUAACGAGAGCCGUAACGAGGCUUCGGACAGUCUCAGGCGGGCAGUUUGACUGGGGCGGUCGCCUCCGAAAGAGCAACGGAGGCGCCCAAAGGUUCCCUCAGCGCGGACGGAAACCGCGCGCAGAGUGUAAAGGCAGAAGGGAGCUUGACUGCGAGACGGACAGGUCGAGCAGGGACGAAAGUCGGGCUUAGUGAUCCGGUGGAAGAGAGUGGAAUUGCCAUCGCACAACGGAUAAAAGCUACCCUGGGGAUAACAGGCUUAUCUCUCCCAAGAGUCCAUAUCGACGGGGAGGUUUGGCACCUCGAUGUCGGCUCA